rnacentral:rRNA from 1 species
GACGAACGCUGGCGGCGUGCUUAACACAUGCAAGUCGAACGUGAUUUUUAAGGAAAGCCCUUCGGGGUGGGAAUUAAAAUGAAAGUGGCGAACGGGUGAGUAACACGUGAGCAACCUACCUUACACAGGGGGAUAGCCGUUGGAAACGACGAUUAAUACCGCAUGAGACCACAGAAUCGCAUGAUAUAGGGGUCAAAGAUUUAUCGGUGUAAGAAGGGCUCGCGUCUGAUUAGCUAGUUGGAAGGGUAAAGGCCUACCAAGGCGACGAUCAGUAGCCGGUCUGAGAGGAUGAACGGCCACAUUGGAACUGAGACACGGUCCAAACUCCUACGGGAGGCAGCAGUGGGGAAUAUUGCACAAUGGGGGGAACCCUGAUGCAGCGACGCCGCGUGAGCGAAGAAGGUUUUCGAAUCGUAAAGCUCUGUCCUANGAGAAGAUAANGA